AUGACGUCCUGCGGUAACGAGCCUCUGUUCGACGGCGGCGCGGGCUGCGGCUCCUGCUACGAGAUUCGAUGCGUCGCCGCCAACAACCCUUCCUGCUCCGGCCAGCCGAGGACGGUGGUCAUCACCGACAUGAACUACUACCCCGUGGCUAGGUACCACUUCGACCUCAGCGGCACAGCGUUCGGGGCCAUGGCCAAGAACGGCCUCAACGACAAGCUCCGCCACGCCGGCAUCAUCGACAUGCAGUUCAGGAGGGUGCGCUGCAACUUCCCAGGCAUGAAGGUCACCUUCCAUGUCCAGCGUGGCUCCAACCCCAACUACCUCGCGGUGCUCGUGGAGUAUGCCAACGUGGACGGGACCGUGGUGAGGAUGGAGCUGAUGCAGACCAAGAACGGUCGCCCCACGGGGUCCUGGGAGCCGAUGCGCUGCUCCUGGGGAUCCAUCUGGCGGAUGGACACCAACCGCCCGCUACAAGGGCCAUUCUCCAUGUGCAUCACCAGUGACUCCGGGAAGACGCUGGUGGCCAACAAUGUCAUCCCGGCCUAUUGGCGGCCGGACAAAGCCUACUGGUCCAACGUCCAGUUCUAUUGA
rnacentral:rRNA from 1 species